AUGCAUGAUCCCCGGGAGCCGCACUUCACCGUCCUCAAGCGCAUCUUGCGUUACAUCCGUGGCACACCGCAGCUCGGCCUUCACCUCCGGCGCUCCUCCGACCACCGCCUCGUUGCAUACUCUGACACCGACUGGGCGGGUUGUCCUGACACCCGCAAGUCCACGUCGGGCUACUGCAUCUUCAUCGGCGACAACCUCGUCUCUUGGUCCUCCAAGCGGCAACAGACCGUCUCCUGGUCCAGCGCGGAUGCGGAAUACAGGGCGGUGGCCAAUGCCGUGGCCGAGGCGUGCUGGCUGCAUCAACUUCUGCACGAGCUGCGGCGUCCUCCGGAUCGAGCGACGAUCGUCUACUGCGACAACGUGAGCGCCAUGUACCUCUCCACCAACCCCGUGCAGCAUCAGCGCACGAAGCACAUCGAGAUCGACCUUCAUUUCGUGCGUGAGCGGGUUGCUUUCGGUGAUGUACGCGUCCUUCACGUCCCAUCCGCGUCGCAGUUCGCUGAUAUCUUCACGAAGGGGCUGCCCUUGACCGUCUUCCUCAACUUCCGGUCCAGCCUCAACGUGCUCGACGACCCCGUUGUGGCUGCGGGGGGCUGUUGGAAGACUACCGUUGCUGCCUCAACUAGAGGACUGAGUCCUACGUAG
rnacentral:rRNA from 1 species